AUGAUAGUUACUGACCUCUCCUGGGGUCUCACUCUGGCUCCCAUUAGGCUAGCGCCCCCUUAGUGCAGAAGCCCUGGGUGGUUCAUCUCUGUAUCCCCCACGGCACUCACUAAGUUGUUGGCGAAGAGCUUCAAGGAUCAGUGGCAGGAGAUCUGGGGAGACGGUAAUGAGUGUCUCUGAGUCUCCCUGCGCAGUGUAUUUUGCCUGGAGAACUCCCCUCCCUCCUCUCCUUCCUUCCUUCUUUCCUGAAGAAAAGGGAAUAAAAACGGGGCAGUAAUAGUACCCACCUCGCGCAGGCUGGCUACAGAGAUUAAAUGAGUUAUCGGGUAAAGCGCUUAGAACAAUGCCUGAUGCACAGUGCCUACGUCAUGGCUGGUACUCCUUACUACCUUUAUUUCCCCUUUUUCUUGGUGUAUAUUUUUUCUGAUUAUGAACGCCAUACUUAUUUGUGGUAGCAAAGUGUGAAAAUGUAGGAAAAACCCCACCAGAGUGAAGGCGACAGAGGUUUGAACAAAUAAGUAGAAGACAGAGGAGGAAAGAUGAGCACAAUCAUGAGCGUGCGUACAAGGUGCAGAGGCAGCUGGAGGAAAUGGUGGACCUGGUAGGGAUGGAAGGUGGCGUCCACCAGGCCCUGGGAAGGCUCCACAGACUAGGGGAAGGUUACGGAGGAGGAGGUGAGUGGAUGCGGGGGAAGGCCAUUAGCAUGUGCAAAGGCCCAAGGCAUUAAAUGCCAUCCGGGCACUGCCGUUCUGCAUUGCCCCCUUGUGCUGGAGGGGAGGAGCGUCGGGAGAGUGGGAAGGGCCGGGAAGUGAGAAGCCCCGUGUCAAGAGGAAGAAUGAAAGCUUGGAGCUGCCAUCAUCCAAUCAGCAUUUAGGAGAGAUGACUCCGGCACAGGCAGGACCAAUGGGCUGGAGGAGACUUUGGGAGCAAAGAGACCGGCUGUUAAAGCUGGUGCCAAAGUCGGGAACAAGUUGGAGACGGCCUCGGCCGCUGCGGAAGCACCCCCGGAAUGGGCCAGACAGGAUGGGCUGGAGACGUGGAGGGAGCGGAUGUGGGGAGGAAAAGGCGAGCAGCCAGGACGACGCCCAGGUGAGAAGGCAGAGCCAAGGGUGGAAAGCAGGAGCGUACUCAGCACAACUUAAGGUCCAGCGAUUUUGCCUGGGGCAGCAGCCAGCCUCCCAUCCCUGCACACAGCACCACGGAGGCUGGAGAGCCUGCUGCCCCGGGAUACUGUCCACAGUGUCUGCACCAAGCCGAGGUUGAAGAUGCUUUCCAAGGCCCUCCUGGAUUCUAAUUCUCAUUGGCUGAAGGUAGGGAGCUGGAGCAGGAUGCAGGAACCUCACGGGAGUGAACAGAGGGUGUGUUUGGGGCUCAUUACCAUCCUGCUAUUUGAUGUGACAGACUUUUUGCUUGAGCAAACAGACUUCCAAACCUUUUCUUGGGCCCCCUCUGUGCUCUUCCUUGUAAAAUCUAGUUUUAGUGAGUCCCGCAUCCUUCACAUCUGAACCCCCUUAAUAUCUAGUCAUCCCACACCAUCACCCCAGGGAGAUGUCCAAACCACCCUGCCCUUUCUCCAUCAAGAAUCCUAAGUCAGUUUAGCCAAACCCCUCUGACCCCUAAAGCUUCCCCUUAGGAAGUUCCCAUCCACUGACCCCCUCCCUGCUCCUUAGCUAUAAAUCCCCAGGUGGCCAUACAAAAACCAGUUGGGAAAGGGUCAGGAAGAGUAUAUGCCACGUGUCUGCUUCUAUUAAGACCUUCACUUGGAAAUCCUCCCCCCCCCCCCCCCACCUCCAUGACCUCAAUUCUAAAACCUUCCCCCGUGACAGCAAUCCAUCUUUCCUGCUCAGGACUUUCCUGCUCAGCAUCUGACUGAUGCUGGUCAGAUGUAGGAGGAUGAGAAUAAUUACUCUUUUAAAAAUUUUUUAUUUAAUUUUUGGUUGCACUGGGUCUUUGUUUCUACUCUUAGGCUUUCGUGGAGGUGAGCAUGGGCUGCUCUCUAGCUUCCUGGCGCACAGGCUUCUCAGGGAAGUGGUUUCUCUUGUUGCAGAGCAUGGGUUAUAGGGUGAGAGCUCAGUAGUUGGGGAGCACAGGCUUAGUUUCCCUGUGGUAUGUGGUAUCUUAGUUCCCAGGGACUGAACCCGUCUCCCCUGCACUGGCAGACGGAUUCUUAACCACGGGAACACCAGAGAAGUCCACCUCA
ensembl:lncRNA